rnacentral:rRNA from 1 species
GGACGACCGCUGGCGGCGUGCUUACCCCAUGCAAGUCGAACGGAAAGGCCCUGCUUUUGUGGGGUGCUCGAGUGGCGAACGGGUGAGUAACACGUGAGUAACCUGCCCUUGACUUUGGGAUAACUUCAGGAAACUGGGGCUAAUACCGGAUAGGAGCUCCUGCUGCAUGGUGGGGGUUGGAAAGUUUCGGCGGUUGGGGAUGGACUCGCGGCUUAUCAGCUUGUUGGUGGGGUAGUGGCUUACCAAGGCUUUGACGGGUAGCCGGCCUGAGAGGGUGACCGGCCACAUUGGGACUGAGAUACGGCCCAGACUCCUACGGGAGGCAGCAGUGGGGAAUAUUGCACAAUGGGCGGAAGCCUGAUGCAGCAACGCCGCGUGCGGGAUGACGGCCUUCGGGUUGUAAACCGCUUUCGCCUGUGACGAAGCGUGAGUGACGGUAAUGGGUAAAGAAGCACCGGCUAACUACGUG